GGAAGGUAAGAGGAGGAUGAAAGAAAGAGGGGACUGAGAAGGGAGUAUGGAAAGUCUUAGUAAUGACACUUUCCGUACAACAAAGUGAGGUCAUUCCUUGUUGAUUUAUACCAUAAGGGGCUGGCUAUCAUGUGUUGGAAGAUACCCUAAACUUAACCUAACAAAACCCCAAACAAUCACUAUAGGCCUUGACUCGGAAAACUCGUGUAUGCUUUCUUACUAAUGAGACUCUCCAUACAACAAAGUGAGGUCAUUCCUUGUUGAUUUAUGCUGUAAGGUGCUGGCUAUCAUGUAUUGAAAGAUACCCUAAACUUAACCUAACCUAACCUAACAAAACCCAAAACAAUCACUAUAGGUCUUGACUCAGAAAACUCAUAUAUCCUUCCUUACUAAUGAGACUUUCCAUACAACAAAGUGAGGUCAUUCUUUGUUGAUUUAUGCCAUAAGGGGCUGGCUAUCAUGUGUUUGAAGAUACCCUAAACUUAACCUAACAUAACCUAACAAAACCCCAAACAGUCACACUUGGCCUUGACUUGGAAAAUUCAUAUAUGCUUCCUUACUAAUGAGACUUUCUAUACAGCAAAGUGAGGUCAUUCCUUGUUGAUUUAUACCAUAAGGGGCUGGCUAUCAUGUGUUGGAAGAUACCCUAAACUUAACCUAACAAAACCCAAAACAAUCACUAUAGGCCUUGACUCAGAAAACUCAUAUAUCCUUCCUUACUAAUGAGACUUUCCAUACAACAAAGUGAGGUCAUUCCUUGUUGAUUUAUGCCAUAAGGUGCUGGCUAUCAUGUGUUUGAAGAUACCCUAAACUUAACCUAACAUAACCUAACAAAAACCCAAACAGUCACUAUAGGCCUUGACUCAGAAAACUCAUAUAUCCUUCCUUACUAAUGAGACUUUCCAUACAACAAAGUGAGGUCAUUCCUUGUUGAUUUAUGCCAUAAGGUGCUGGCUAUCAUGUGUUUGAAGAUACCCUAAACUUAACCUAACAUAACCUAACAAAAACCCAAACAGUCACUAUAGGCCUUGACUCGGAAAAUUCAUAUAUGCUUUCUUACUAAUGAGACUUUCCAUACAACAAAGUGAGGUCAUUCCUUGUUGAUUUAUACCAUAAGGUGCUGGCUAUCAUGUGUUUGAAGAUACCCUAAACUUAACCUAACACAACCAAAACAAACACUAUAGGCUUUGACUCAGAAAAUUCAUAGAAGAAAGGAGAAAAAGAAAAGAAAAGGAAAGAAGAGAGAGAAAGAGAGAAAAGAAGAAAGAUCGAAGAAAGAAAGAGAAGAGGAGCUGAAACUAGCGAGAGGGAGGUCGGAUUACUAAUUUCAUUUGUAAAAUACGAGAUCUUACGUUUUGGUAUAUUGAUAGACCUUGCAAUAGGUACAUGAAUCUAUCACCAUGACAGCCAGUCUUCUCCAGGUCUACUGUAUUACUAAAUGCUGAAGUUAGUAUAGUAUAUUUUCCUUCAUGGCGUACUUUUGAAUAAUUUAGCCUUUAGAAUCACUUGGUAUUGUCCCACUGAACUUUAACCCUGUAGCAGCGACGGGCCGAAUUUGUGGCUUUACUGUGUAGCAGCGACGGGUCAAAUUUGUGGCUUUACCGUGUAGCAGCGAUGGGCCAAAUUUGUGGUUUUACCGUGUAGCAGUGACUGGUCAAAUUUGUGGCUUUACCGUGUAGCAGCGAUGGGCCAAAUUUGUGGCUGUACCAUGUAGCAGCGACGGGCCAAAUUUGUGGCUUUACCGUGUAGCAGCGAUGGGCCAAAUUUGUGGCUUUACCGUGUAGCAGCGACGGGCCAAAUUUGUGGCUUUACCGUGUAGCAGCGACGGGCCAAAUUUGUGGCUUUACCGUGUAGCAGCGACGGGCCAAAUUUGUGGCUUUACCGUGUAGCAGCGACGGGCCAAAUUUGUGCCAUGAUAUAAACCCCCCAAAAUAGAUGACACAUAAACUGAUCACAAAUGCGUUGAAAUAUAUUAUGAAAUGGUUUGUGUGAGUGAUGAUUUUUUUCUCAUUUUUCUCGCUUAGAGGGACCACUAAGAAACGUAAUCCCCGCUGCUACCGGGUUAAAUUGCAAAAGAAAUAAAACAUGUAUUUGGACUAUAUAAAUCCCAGUGUAUGCUUGGAUCUAUGCCUAUGACACUGGUCCGUAGAUUUUUUUUAAUCUCUCGCCUGGUCCAUGGCUUUGUGAAGGUUGGGACGCACAGUUCUAACACCUCCUCCUCCUCCUC